UUUUUUGAAAGAUCAGAGUUAUACAUUUUGUGAGCAGUUACAGUAUGGUAGACAGUCUUUCAAGGGAUGCAACCCUGACAUAGAAAAAAUAAUGAAAGUGAAACUACAGGAACAACAGUUGAAAGCAUCAGCAGAGAAAGAGCAGCUCAAUAGUGUUAGUGAUGUAGACAUGGCCAAGAGGUACUCAACACUUAUGCACGUGAUAGCAAAGAAAUUUGAAAAGAAAAGAAAGAGGACAACUGGGGAUGGUGUGGAUGACUCACAAGCUCAAACAAAAAAAUCUUUUAUGAAGCCUUCUGACGAUGAAUAAUUUUAACAUGAUCAUCAAAUCAGAAAGUUAAAAAAAAAA
rnacentral:sRNA from 1 species